AACCUUACCUACCCUUGACAUGGAUGGAAUCCUGAAGAGAUUUGGGAGUGCUCGAAAGAGAACCAUCACACAGGUGCUGCAUGGCUGUCGUCAGCUCGUGUCGUGAGAUGUUGGGUUAAGUCCCGCAACGAGCGCAACCCUUGUCAUUAGUUGCUACGAAAGGGCACUCUAAUGAGACUGCCGGUGACAAACCGGAGGAAGGUGGGGAUGACGUCAAGUCCUCAUGGCCCUUAUGGGUAGGGCUUCACACGUCAUACAAUGGUACAUACUUGAGGGCCGCCAACCCGCGAGGGGGAGCUAAUCCCAGAAAGCGCCUCCUAUCCGGAUUGGAGUCUGCAACUCGACUCCAUGAAGUUGGAAUCGCUAGUAAUCGCGGAU
rnacentral:rRNA from 1 species